rnacentral:tRNA from 1 species
GGGGCUAUAGCUCAGUAGCAGAGCACUUGCUUAACAUGUAUGAGGCACUGGGUUCAAUCCUUAACUCCA